CCUACGGGAGGCAGCAGUGGGGAAUAUUGCACAAUGGGGGAAACCCUGAUGCAGCGACGCCGCGUGAGUGAAGAAGUCUUUCGGUAUUUAAAGCUCUAUCAGCAGGGAAGAAAAUGACUGUACCUGAUUAAGAAGCUCCGGCUAACUACGUGCCAGCAGCCGCGGUAAUACGUAGGGGGCAAGCGUUAUCCGGAUUUACUGGGUGUAAAGGGAGCGUAGGCGGCAUCACAAGUCUGGAGUGAAAUGCGGGGGUUUAACCCUGGAACUGCAUUUGAAACUGUGCAGCUAGAGUGCAGGAGAGGUAAGUGGAAUUCGUAGUGUAGCGGUGAAAUGCGUAGAUAUUAGGAGGAACACCAGUGGCGAAGGCGGCUUACUGGACUGUAACUGACGUUGAGGCUCGAAAGCGUGGGGAGCAAACAGGAUUAGAUACCCGAGUAGUC
rnacentral:rRNA from 1 species